GACGACCGCUGGCGGCGUGCCUAAUACAUGCAAGUCGAACGCAGUGGGGACGGGUGAGUAACACGUUGGUAACCUCCCAUCAGAGGGGAUAACAAUUGGAAACAGGUGCUAAACCGAUCCUGAUGGAUGGACCCGCGGUCCAUUAGCUCGUUGGUGAGGUAACGGCUCACCAAGGCCACGAUGAAUAUCCGACCUGAGAGGGUGAUCGGUCACACUGGGACGGAGACACGGCCCAGACUCCUCCGGUAGGCAGCAGUAGGGAAUCUGCGGCAAUGGACGAAAGUCUGACCGAGCAACGCCGCGUGAGUGAAGAAGGUUUUCGGAUCGUAAAACUCUGUUGUUAGAGAAGCGGUAUCUAACCAGAAAGCCACGGCUAACGACGUGCCAGCAGCCGCGGUAAUAC
rnacentral:rRNA from 1 species